CAGCAGCCACGGUAAAACGUAGGUGGCAAGCGUUGUCCGGAAUUAUUGGGCGUAAAGGGCUCGCAGGCGGUUUCUUAAGUCUGAUGUGAAAGCCCCCGGCUCAACCGGGGAGGGUCAUUGGAAACUGGGAAACUUGAGUGCAGAAGAGGAGAGUGGAAUUCCACGUGUAGCGGUAAAAUGCGUAGAGAUGUGGAGGAACACCAGUGGCGAAGGCGACUCUCUGGUCUGUAACUGACGCUGAGGAGCGAAAGCGUGGGGAGCGAACAGGAUUAGAUACCCGAGUAGUCCCUGUCUCUUAUAC
rnacentral:rRNA from 1 species